rnacentral:rRNA from 1 species
UACGGAGGGAGCUAGCGUUAUCCGGAAUUACUGGGCGUAAAGCGCACGUAGGCGGCUUUGUAAGUAAGAGGUGAAAGCCCAGAGCUCAACUCUGGAAUUGCCUUUUAGACUGCAUCGCUUGAAUCAUGGAGAGGUCAGUGGAAUUCCGAGUGUAGAGGUGAAAUUCGUAGAUAUUCGGAAGAACACCAGUGGCGAAGGCGGCUGACUGGACAUGUAUUGACGCUGAGGUGCGAAAGCGUGGGGAGCAAACAGG